rnacentral:rRNA from 1 species
ACGGUCCUAAGGUAGCGAAAUUCCUUGUCGGGUAAGUUCCGACCUGCACGAAUGGCAUAAUGAUGGCCAGGCUGUCUCCACCCGAGACUCAGUGAAAUUGAAAUCGCCGUGAAGAUGCGGUGUACCCGCGGCUAGACGGAAAGACCCCGUGAACCUUUACUAUAGCUUGACACUGAACAUUGAAUUUUGAUGUGUAGGAUAGGUGGGAGCCUUUGAAGCAGUCACGCCAGUGAUUGUGGAGGCGUCCUUGAAAUACCACCCUUUAACGUUUGAUGUUCUAACGAAGAUUACGAAACGUGGUCUCGGACAGUGUCUGGUGGGUAGUUUGACUGGGGCGGUCUCCUCCCAAAGAGUAACGGAGGAGCACGAAGGUUUGCUAAUGACGGUCGGACAUCGUCAGGUUAGUGCAAUGGUAUAAGCAAGCUUAACUGCGAGACAGACAAGUCGAGCAGGUACGAAAGUAGGUCAUAGUGAUCCGGUGGUUCUGAAUGGAAGGGCCAUCGCUCAACGGAUAAAAGGUACUCCGGGGAUAACAGGCUGAUACCGCCCAAGAGUUCAUAUCGACGGCGGUGUUUGGCACCUCGAUGUCGGCUCAUCACAUCCUGGGGCUGAAGUAGGUCCCAAGGGUAUGGCUGUUCGCCAUUUAAAGUGGUACGCGAGCUGGGUUUAGAACGUCGUGAGACAGUUCGGUCCCUAUCUGCCGUGGGCGUUGGAGAAUUGAUUGGGGCUGCUCCUAGUACGAGAGGACCGGAGUGGACGCACCACUGGUGUUCCGGUUGUGUCGCCAGACGCAUUGCCGGGUAGCUAAGUGCGGAAGAGAUAAGUGCUGAAAGCAUCUAAGCACGAAACUUGCCAAGAGAUGAGUUCUCCCAGAUUACAAAUCUGUAAGGGUUGUUUAAGACUAAGACGUAGAUAGGCAUGGUGUGUAAGCGGUGCGAGCCGUUGAGCUAACAUGUACUAAUUGCCCGAGAGGCUUAACUAU